UACGGAGGGGGCUAGCGUUAUUCGGAAUUAUUGGGCGUAAAGGGCGCGUAGGCGGCCCGGUAAGUCAAAGGUGAAAUCCCUCGGCUCAACUGAGGAACUGCCUUUGAAACUGUCGGGCUUGAGGCCGGGAGGGGGUAGCGGAAUUCCCAGUGUAGCGGUGAAAUGCGUAGAUAUUGGGAGGAACACCGGUGGCGAAGGCGGCUACCUGGACCGGUUCUGACGCUGAGGUGCGAAAGCGUGGGGAGCAAACAGG
rnacentral:rRNA from 1 species